CACAGGUUUGGUCCUGACCUUACUAUUAGUUAUUAAUAAAUUUAUACAUGCAAGUAUCAGCCCCCCAGUGAGAAUGCCCUCUAGAUCAGCACUCUGAGUUAAAGGAGCGAGUAUCAGGCACACAUUUAAGUAGCCCAUAACACUUUGCUAAGCCACGCCCCCACGGGAUACAGCAGUAAUUAAAAUUAGGCUAUAAACGAAAGUUUGACUAAGUUAUAUUAAUUAGGGUUGGUAAAUUUCGUGCCAGCCACCGCGGUCAUACGAUUAACCCAAACUAAUAGUUUUCGGCGUAAGGAGUGGUUAAGGUCAAAGCUAAAAAUAAAGUUAAACUUUAACUAAGCUGUAAAAAGCCCCAGUUAUUGUAAAAUAAUCUACGAAAGUGACUUUAUAAACCUGAACCCACGACAACUAAGACCCAAACUGGGAUUAGAUACCCCACUAUGCUUAGCCUUAAACCUAGGGAGUCACAUAACAAGACUCCUCGCCAGAGUACUACUGGCUAAAGCUUAAAACUCAAAGGACUUGGCGGUGCUUUAUAUCCAUCUAGAGGAGCCUGUUCUAUAAUCGAUAAACCCCGAUAAACCUCACCAGCCCUUGCCGAGUCAGCCUAUAUACCGCCAUCUUCAGCAAACCCUAAAGAGGAGCCAAAGUAAGCAUAAUCAUAGGAUAUAAAAACGUUAGGUCAAGGUGUAGCCUAUGGGCUGGGAAGAAAUGGGCUACAUUUCCUAUUAAAGGUUACAAAUUCUAAACACGAAUAUUACUGUGAAAUCAGUAAUUAAAGGUGGAUUUAGCAGUAAAUUAAGAAUAGAGUGCUUAAUUGAAUAUAGGCCAUGAAGCACGCACACACCGCCCGUCACCCUCCUCAAACACCAUUAAUCAAAAAAAAAUCCUAUUUAAAUGAUUAAACCUGUAAGAGGAGAUAAGUCGUAACAAGGUAAGUGUACUGGAAGGUGCACUUGGAUAACU
rnacentral:ncRNA from 1 species